rnacentral:misc_RNA from 1 species
AAGUCGUAACAAGGUUUCCGUAGGUGAACCUGCGGAAGGAUCAUUAACACGUAUCCAACGUUAAACAACCCUGUGAACCUUGAACGUGCUCCUGCAGCCCCAUGAAAUCAGCAAUCCCUGGUAAAUCAUUGUUGACCAGCUUUUGAGUCAGGGACCUCUGCCGAAACGGCUGUUCAGUACCGAGCGCGGUGUAAGCGACCUGGCAUCCCCAAGCGAUCAGUGUCUGAAAGUGUCACUGGCUCUGUAAGAAUGGCGCAGUCACGAUCGCUAGAGGCCGACACGGCCGGCGACCGGGUCACCGGGCUCACGCCCCCCUAUCACCCCUUUGCAUGAAAACGGGCCUGCGCUUAAUUGUGCGGCCAUAAACCGAACAACUGUUAACAAUGGAUAUCUCGAUUCUC